AUUGAACGCUGGCGGCAUGCCUUACACAUGCAAGUCGAACGGCAGCACGGGAGCAAUCCUGGUGGCGAGUGGCGAACGGGUGAGUAAAGUAUCGGAACGUGCCCAGUCGUGGGGGAUAACGUAGCGAAAGUUACGCUAAUACCGCAUACGCACUGUGGAUGAAAGCGGGGGACCGAAAGGCCUCGCGCGAUUGGAGCGGCCGAUGUCGGAUUAGGUAGUUGGUGGGGUAAAGGCUCACCAAGCCAACGAUCUGUAGCUGGUCUGAGAGGACGACCAGCCACACUGGGACUGAGACACGGCCCAGACUCCUACGGGAGGCAGCAGUGGGGAAUUUUGGACAAUGGGCGCAAGCCUGAUCCAGCAAUGCCGCGUGCAGGAAGAAGGCCUUCGGGUUGUAAACUGCUUUUGUACGGAGCGAAAAGGCUCUCUCUAAUACAGGGGGCUCAUGACGGUACCGUAAGAAUAAGCACCGGCUAACUACGUGCCAGCAGCCGCGGUAA
rnacentral:rRNA from 1 species